rnacentral:lncRNA from 1 species
GUUGAAUCAAGUUACGAUGAAGUGUGGCCAGUCGCUGCAGAUGAAGCCAAGCUUUGUUUCUGUGUUCAUGAGUGAUUCUGCUGGGAUGGAUUUGCUCUUAAGUAAAGCUGUGCAGAAACUGGGAAGUGCCGCAUCGGAGCUUUUGAAUUUGGACCACUUGCAGUCCUGACAUUCAGAAUCUCAUCCCUAUGGGUGGCAAAGACAAAGAGGCUGGAUGCAAAGGAGGAAGCAUGGUAAAGGCAGCAUCUCUCCGGG